GAAAGUUCAAUCUUCUUUGCAUUUGUUUGUGCAAACUUGGCAGAAAAUGCCUGUCUUAAUCUGCUUCAUAUUUUCAGCAACUUGCACAGCACUAGAUAAGUAGUAAGUGUCAAUAAAUAUUUGUUAACUACAUAAAUUGAUGAUGGAAAAAAGAAGAGUAUCGGACAUAAAUUGAUAGAACUCAUCAAGCUUUGUCAAGCUGGUCCCAGGCUUUUUAAAAUCUCUUAGAAAAUGCCCUUUCUUGGAGCAAUACUGAAACGUUGAGAAUGUGGAUUAGAAUAAUCAGCAGAGAGGCCUCGGAGAUGUAUCCCACCAAAGAAGCCUUGGACAGCCCACAGUGUAUCUGGAAUUGGUUCCUUCCAGUGGGCUCUUGG